UACGGGGGGAGCGAGCGUUUUAUUCGUCAUGACUGGGCGUAAAGGAUUCGUAGGCGGCCUUUUGAGUUUUGGUAAAAAGACUGAUAGUAAUACUGUACGCCAUUUAGACUAUAAGGCUUUUUGUAGAGUAUCAUUGGAGGAUGGCAGAACUCGCAAAGAAGGGGUAAAAUCCAAAAAUAAUGCAGAGGGAUCGCAAUAGGUGAAAACGGUUAUCAUCGAUGAUAACUGACGCUGAGGGAUGAAAGCAUGAGUAUCGAACAGG
rnacentral:rRNA from 1 species